UGGGGAAUAUUGGACAAUGGGGGCAACCCUGAUCCAGCAAUGCCGCGUGUGUGAAGAAGGCCUGCGGGUUGUAAAGCACUUUCAAUUGGGAAGAAAAGCUGAAGAUUAAUACCCUUCAGUCUUGACAUUAUCUUUAGAAGAAGCACCGGCUAACUCCGUGCCAGCAGCCGCGGUAAUACGGAGGGUGCAAGCGUUAAUCGGAAUUACUGGGCGUAAAGCGCGCGUAGGCGGUUUAGUAAGUCGGAUGUGAAAUCCCCGGGCUCAACCUGGGAAUUGCAUUCGAUACUGCUUAACUAGAGUAUGGUAGAGGGAAGUGGAAUUCCGGGUGUAGCGGUGAAAUGCGUAGAUAUCCGGAGGAACAUCAGUGGCGAAGGCGACUUCCUGGACCAAUACUGACGCUGAGGUGCGAAAGCGUGGGGAGCAAACA
rnacentral:rRNA from 1 species